ensembl:lncRNA
GGAGAGGUGGAGCUAUGUCGUCAUCGUUUCAGAAGAAUCUCGUGUAAACACAGAAACGUGUGGUCGUGGUUUGUCCGUGAUAUCAAGGGAGCCGGGUUCAGAUGUUCUGGUUCCGACCGGCCGCGUCGUGUGGACGAGGCCUCAGUGAGCGGAUGUUCCGAAGCCAGAUGAUACAGGUCUGCGCUCGGAGGCCGGUUUGGUCCGAAUGACUACCCGUAGACCACGUGACUGUUGUUGUCACACGCCGCGCCGCUGCUGCACGCGCAUGCUGGACGCUCCGAAGCUAACGGACAAUAACACGCGCUGUGGACGGACCUGGAGCCUCGCGGGACACAGUCCACUGUGGGAGACAUGUGCUUCUCCACGGGGGACUCGGCGCUGACGCUGGCGGUGCCGCCUGUAGAAGCAGAAGCUACCGGGAGCUAGCAUUAGCGGCUAUGCGGCUAACUGGAUCCGCCGGGUCCACAAACACCCGCCCGCUAAGGAACGGGUCCACGGCGUGAUACGGAGCAGAGCGUGUUGUGUUCGUGCUGGACUCCACAGAACCAGGUUGUGGGAGUGUGGAGAAAACGGCAGGAGACGCGUCGGGGGUCGGUCCAGAGGACCAGCUUUCCAGCCGGGCUCGCAGCGGAACAGCAGGAGACACGAGGAGGCGAGAAGAGGACACGAUGAGCCCGGCGGGGCUCAGGAGGACCUCUGACAUCAGGAGGCAGCAGCGGUGGCUGAAGAAAAGCAGAAGGCAGUGCACAGAUCGUCUUACCUGUGAGAGGGUACGAGAUGAGCGAGCGGCGGCCUGCCUCUGUGCCAGGAUUAUCGAUGGCUGCUGUCACCGUGAGUUUCAGCUGGUGACAGAAGGGGCGUCACAGUGGGGACGUCCAGAGAGCACAGCGGAUGGAUCCGAGGUCACGCCCGUCGAGGAGGAGAGGAGGGGCCAGGAGGAGCACGGCAGAGGUCAGGAGGAGGUGCUGCCAUGGGGAGGUGAAAGCAUAGAGCAGAUGAAGCCAGGCUACUUGUGUGUGUUGUAGAGUCUGGGUCAGAGUGUGUGUUCAGUGUGGAGGUUGUGUGUGUGUGUGUGUGUGUGUGUGUGUGCAUGUGUCACUUGAGUGUGUGCUGGUUAGGAAGUGUGUUUGUUAGAGCUGUGUAGGCAGUAGCUGUAAUGUGUGUGUGUGUGUGAUUGUGUAGGCAACAUGUUAGUAGUCAGCACCACCACAGGUUUGUUGUUGUUGUUGUUGAAACAUGUGUACAGUGUAGUGCCUUUACAUGUGGUGUCUGUGUGUAUUAGAAAAUGUAUGUGUGUAGGUUGUUAUGCAUACAUAUGUAUAUGUGUAUACAUGCUCAUUGACUUCAUCAGCCCCUGCUGCUCAUCUUUCCUAUUUAUGGACUGAUGAUAUAUAGAUAUCAUUACAAUCUAAUCACUGUUUCAUCUGCUGCAUGUUUGCUCUGUACUGUAUCAUGUUUGCUCCUCUCUCUCUCUCUCUGUCUCUCUCCCUCCCUCCCUCCCUCCUUCAUCCUCCAUCCUCUCUCUGUCUCCUCUCUCUCCUUCAUCCUCUCUGACUAGCAGCAGGACUGCUUCCCCCUUUAAGUUAA